AGAGGGGAGCAGCCAGCAGUCUUAUGCUACCACUGUGGCUCAUCCUGCGACCUGAGAGAAACCUGGGCAACUGUGAGCACCAGAGGCCAAGUCCUGGACAGUCUUUAGGCCAUGUUGGAACUACAUUUGGAAAGGUGGUUGUUAAACAUUUCCCAGCACACACCUGGAUCUGCAUCUGCUGUGUCAAUUGAACCACUCACUGGUUCUGUGACCUCAGGCAAGUCAUUUAAAUUAUAAGCCUUGGUUUUAUCCUCCACAGAAUACUUCCUCCUAAAAUGUGUUGUGAAAAUUAGAAUAGAUGAAGGCACCCUUGAAAAGAUGACUGAUGCGGUUGGUUGCCCCACCACUUCCUACUACUUGGCAGAGCCUCCUCGUUGGCAGAUCCUUCUCUCACUAGAGCAUGUAUAUGGAUGCAUGCUCUCUCACCCUCCCUUGUAGCUUAGAGCAGAGCAUACCAAUCUAUGUGCCAGCAUACCCUGGUAUGUCUCAGAUGGGUCAUAGAUGUGAUAAGGUAUGGAUCCCUUAAGCCCUUGGGACAUUCAAGUGAGGCUGAGCUGCUGAAGCCCUGGGAUGGUAUGACUGGCCACAAGCAACAUUACCCAGGUACCCCUCUGUGUCACAAAAACGUUAUCUUUGUAUUUGUGUCAUGGUGUGAAAAAAUUGAGAAGCACUGCCUGGGGACAUAGUGAGGUAGCCCAAUUCUGGAUAAAGGAAAUUGAGAAGUCUUGAGGGGGUAGAGAGGUUUUCUUCCCUAAUAAGAAGAAUCACAGGAGAGAAAAUGCCUUCCUCAGCCAUAUGUUGUUAUUUCUAUAUGUGAGCCUGGAAUUUCAAGGUUAUCUUGCAAAGAACCAAGGCAAUGUAGAGAAAAGAAUUGAUAGCAAGUGGCUGGAUCUUUCACAUUGUAAAGCCAUUGAGCCAUCCGUGCAAUUGCCCACCUUGGGAAUUUAUUUUUAAGAGUGAUAAUAAAUGCUCCUCAUUGUUUAAACUACUUUGAUUUUUGUAUUUGGUUAUUCAUAAUUAAAAACACCCAAAUACAGUAGAAGAACUGGUACAUCCCUGACACCUAAUGAGUGCUCAAUAUGGUUAGUUAAUCACCAAAUUAGAUCCUUUGCCUUUAGAAAAGCUGCCAUGGUCAAAUGUGUGUUGAUCUUAUUUUUCGUAAAUAUUUAAGAAAUUUGUUCAGUAACUAGCUUAACUUUUAAUAUUUAUCUUGAGUCUCUUCUAAAUAUGUUUUUACUGUAUAAUAAAAGCAAUAAUUGAAAAAUGACAUCAUUUUAAGCUUGAGAGCAACUAGAUACAAAGAUGUUGAUAUGCAUUUUCUCUUCUUGAAGGAUCUAGACAAACUGGAGCACCAUUACAUGAAAAAGGUUAAAGAAUCAAUGUUUUGCAAAAUAGAACUGGAAUUAAUUCAUGGGAAUUACAGAGAAGAUCAUAUUAGUUCAAUAUAAAAAGAGGGCCUAGAAUGUGCCAAGCUCCAUACAAUGCCCCUCAUGAGUGUUAUUUAAUUCUCACAACAACUUUGCAAAAAAGAAACUAUUUUUUUUUCCAUUUUACAAAGGAGGAAGCUAAGGCUGUGAAAAAGAGCUCUUUUGCAAGCCUAGGACCUGAUUCCAAAAUUCCCACUCUUUCUGUUGCAAAUUCUGGCUAAGCUUUCCAGAGAUGACUUGCUUUCCCCUUGAGGCCCUUUCAGUGCAUUGUGCCAUGGAAAACAAAAAGCCCAACAAUGACAUCUUUACCAAAGAUGCCUUGGGGAGAUGGGAGAAGAGUUACAAUGCACAUUACACAGCAAAAUCUUUUUUAAGCUCCAAGUAAAAUUGGUUUUUUCUUAGAGUUUUGCUUCCAGCAGUCACUUCCUCCAUUCUCCUGCUCUCUCCACGUGAGGAAAACUUCUAUCCUGCCUUCUCCUAAUACACUUUCCUGUUUUUUUUUUCCUGCACAUUUCUUAAAAAUCCCACAUAAGGCAAAAGCCAAGACAAUAUCCAUCAACACCUCCACCCCCACCGCAUGUCCAUGGAGAGCUUCAAGUCAUCCUGCCGCUGGUACAAACACGGCAGAGGCCUCUUUGUAAAGAAGUGUUCUUCGUAGACUCUGGAAUGGAGCUGGAAGCUGUCAU
rnacentral:lncRNA from 1 species